rnacentral:rRNA from 1 species
AUCGGAUUACUGGGCGUAAGCGCACGCAGGCGGUCUGUUAAGUCAGAUGUGAAAUCCCCGGGCUUAACCUGGGAACUGCAUUUGAAACUGGCAGGCUUGAGUCUUGUAGAGGGGGGUAGAAUUCCAGGUGUAGCGGUGAAAUGCGUAGAGAUCUGGAGGAAUACCGGUGGCGAAGGCGGCCCCCUGGACAAAGACUGACGCUCAGGUGCGAAAGCGUGGGGAGCAAACAGGAUUAGAUACCCUGGUAGUCCACGCCGUAAACGAUGUCGACUUGGAGGUUGUUCCCUUGAGGAGUGGCUUCCGGAGCUAACGCGUUAAGUCGACCGCCUGGGGAGUACGGCCGCAAGGUUAAAACUCAAAGGAGAUUUGACGGAGGCCCCCACAAGCKGUGGAGCAUGUGGUUUAAUUCCAUGCAACGCGAAKAACCUUACCUACUCUUGACAUCCACGGAAUUUGGCAGAGAUGCCUUAGUGCCUUCGGGAACCGUGAGACAGGUGCUGCAUGGCUGUCGUCAGCUCGUGUUGUGAAAUGUUGGGUUAAGUCCCGCAACGAGCGCAACCCUUAUCCUUUGUUGCCAGCGAUUCGGUCGGGAACUCAAAGGAGACUGCCGGUGAUAAACC